rnacentral:rRNA from 1 species
UAACGCGUAGGUAACCUGCCUUGUAGCGGGGGAGUAACUAUUGGAAACGAUAGCUAAUACCGCAUAACAAUGGGUGACUCAUGUCAUUUAUUUGAAAGGGGCAAAAUGCUCCACUACAAGAUGGACCUGCGUUGUAUUAGCUAGUAGGUGAGGUAACGGCUCACCUAGGCGACGAUACAUAGCCGACCUGAGAGGGUGAUCGGCCACACUGGGACUGAGACACGGCCCAG